AGUGGCGGACGGGUGAGUAACACGUAGGAAUCUACCCAUGGGAGGGGGACAACAGUUGGAAACGACUGCUAAUACCCCAUACGGCGCAAGCUAAAAGAGUUUCGCCUAUGGAUGAGCCUGCGUCUGAUUAGCUAGUUGGUGAGGUAAUGGCUCACCAAGGCGACGAUCAGUAGCUGGUCUGAGAGGACGAUCAGCCACACUGGGACUGAGACACGGCCCAGACUCCCACGGGAGGCAGCAGUGGGGAAUUUUCCGCAAUGGGCGCAAGCCUGACGGAGCAAUACCGCGUGAGGGAGGAAGGCCCUUGGGUUGUAAACCUCUUUUCUCAGGGAAGAAUCAAUGACGGUACCUGAGGAAUAAGCAUCGGCUAACUUCGUGCCAGCAGCCGCGGUAAGACGAAGGAUGCAAGCGUUAUCCGGAAUUAUUGGGCGUAAAGAGUACGUAGGCGGCUUGUCAAGUCUUGGGUUAAAGCCCGCAGCUUAACUGCGGAUCGGCCUUGGAAACUGACUCGCUGGAGUUUGGUAGGGGUAGCGGGAAUUCCUGGUGUAGCGGUGAAAUGCGUAGAGAUCAGGAAGAACACCUGUGGCGAAAGCGCGCUACUAGACCAUUACUGACGCUGAGGUACGAAAGCUAGGGGAGCAAAAGGGAUUAGAUACCCCUGUAGUCCUAGCCGUAAACGAUGGACACUAGGUGUU
rnacentral:rRNA from 1 species